UUGGCGGUGAACUCCCAGAUCUCCUCGCCGGAGAGCAGGGCGGCUUCGCCGAAGUAGUCACCGUCGGCCAGGGUGCCCAGCACGGUCUGGUCGCCGUAGGCGCCGGUCCCGACCUUGCUGAUCUUGCCGUGGGCGAUCAGGAACACCUGAUCGGCCGGUGACCCGAACUCCACCAGCGCGUCCCCCGGCUGGUACUCGGCCUGGGUGAACCGGUCGGCCAGCUCGGCCAGGACUUCCUCGUCGGCGAACCCGCGCAGCGGGGCCAGCUCGCCCAGCUCCGGCGGGAUCACCCGCACCUGGCUGCCGGUCGAGGUGAACGUGACCCGCCCGUCCCCGACCGCAUACGACAGGCGCCGGUUCACCCGGUAGGUGCCGCCCGAGACCUCCACCCACGGCAGCACCCGCAGCAGCCACCGCGAGGAAAUGCCCUGCAUCUGCGGCACCGACUUCGUCGUCGUCGCCAACGUCCGGGCCGCGGCCCGCCCCAAACUCAACGGCGCCUG
rfam:Amycolatopsis australiensis strain DSM 44671 genome assembly, contig: Ga0074771_106